rnacentral:rRNA from 1 species
AUUGAACGCUGGCGGCAGGCCUAACACAUGCAAGUCGAGCGAGCGGCGGACGGGUGAGUAAUGUCUGGGAAACUGCCUGAUGGAGGGGGAUAACUACUGGAAACGGUAGCUAAUAACGCAUACAAUCAGAUAUGCCCAGCUGGGAUUAGCGAGUAGGGGGGGUAAAGGACUACCAAGGAAAGGAUCCGUAACUGGUCGGAGAGGAUGAUCGUGCAAACUGGAACUGAGACACGGUCCAGACUCCUACGGGAGGCAGCAUUGGGGAAUAUUGGACAAUGGGCGCAAGCCUGAUACAUCCAUGCCGCGUGUGGGAAGAAGGCCUUCGGGUUGUAAAGCACUUUCAGCGGGGAGGCGUUACCCGCAGAAGAAGCACCGGCUAACUCCGUGCCAGCAGCCGCGGUAAUUC